CCCCAUGUAGCUGAGACAGAGUAGCGCCAGAGUGAAAUCCUGGAGACGGAGGUGCGAGCACUCUCGUGGGGG
rnacentral:tRNA from 1 species